AAUGACAGCCCUGGUGGGCCCAAUCGCGGUUGCUAAGCUAUGAUUGUUUAAUUUGGGAUCGGGGGAGGGGUUUUAGCGAACGGUCAAUGCACAAUUUAGGACCCUAUUUUGGCAUUUUGAAAAGGCUCUGCCUCUCUUCCAACUUCCGAUCUCUUAUGCGCCCCAUUAAUGGUCAAAUGUCUUCACACACGUUCCUGCGGCAAGGUUGUACGGUUCACUCACAUGAAAAAUAUACAAUAUUGUACACUUGCACUAUAGCCUGCACUUGCACUGAGUCACAAAAAUAAAAAGGUGUAUUCCGUGGCAUGGCAAA